rnacentral:rRNA from 1 species
UACGUAGGGUGCGAGCGUUGCCCGGAUUUAUUGGGCGUAAAGGGCGCGUAGGCGGCCACGCACGUCCGUUGUGAAAUCGCCCGGCUCAACUGGGCGGGGUCAGCGGAUACGGUGUGGCUCGAGCAAGCUAGGGGGCAAUGGAAUUCCCGGUGUAGUGGUGGAAUGCGUAGAUAUCGGGAGGAACACCAGUGGCGAAGGCGGUUGCCUGGAGCUUGCUGACGCUGAGGCGCGAAGCGUGGGGAGCGAGUCCGG